rnacentral:rRNA from 1 species
UACGUAGGGGGCAAGCGUUGUCCGGAUUUAUUGGGCGUAAAGCGCGUGUAGGCGGCCAGGUAUGUCGUGCGUGAAAUCUCCCGGCUCAACUGGGAGUGGCCGUGCGAAACUGCCUCGCUUGAGGUCGGAAGGGGAAAGUGGAAUUCCGGGUGUAGUGGUGGAAUACGUAGAUAUCCGGAGGAACACCAGCGGCGAAGGCGGCUUUCUGGUCCGAUUCUGACGCUGAGACGCGAAAGCGUGGGGAGCGAACAGG